rnacentral:tRNA from 1 species
GGGUGCGUAGCUCAGGGACAGAGCGGCGGGGCAGUAAACCUCGCGUCGAGUCGACGGCCGGCGGAAGUUCGAAUCUUCCUGCACCCA